AGAGUUUGAUCCUGGCUCAGAUUGAACGCUGGCGGCAUGCCUUACACAUGCAAGUCGAACGGCAGCACGGACUUCGGUCUGGUGGCGAGUGGCGAACGGGUGAGUAAUACAUCGGAACGUACCCUGUUGUGGGGGAUAACUAGUCGAAAGAUUAGCUAAUACCGCAUACGACCUGAGGGUGAAAGUGGGGGACCGUAAGGCCUCACGCAGCAGGAGCGGCCGAUGUCUGAUUAGCUAGUUGGUGGGGUAAAGGCUCACCAAGGCGACGAUCAGUAGCUGGUCUGAGAGGACGAUCAGCCACACUGGGACUGAGACACGGCCCAGACUCCUACGGGAGGCAGCAGUGGGGAAUUUUGGACAAUGGGGGCAACCCUGAUCCAGCAAUGCCGCGUGUGUGAAGAAGGCCUUCGGGUUGUAAAGCACUUUUGUCCGGAAAGAAAUCGCUUCGGUUAAUACCUGGGGUGGAUGACGGUACCGGAAGAAUAAGCACCGGCUAACUACGUGCCAGCAGCCGCGGU
rnacentral:rRNA from 1 species